GAGUACCACCAGGGGCGGUGGAAGAGGAAACAGAGGUUCACAGAGGACCAGUGACGUGCUAAGCCCAGUGAUGACUGUCUGCGCCCUGUGUGGGUGAGGAUGCGACGACAGCUCCACGGCACCAGAUGUGGGCUCGAGGCCUGAAUACCAGCAGCCUGUGAAGUAAGUGCAGGUUUUCCGGACUGUUUUUCACCCAGCUGAGCAGAGGCAGGGCUGUUAGUCCUCAUCACGGUAGAUGAUCACGGGCCACGCGUGGUCAGAUGCUUGUUCUGGGAAGCUGGGUCUUCAGAGCGCGAGACUGUCGCCGCUCCCCCUUGUCCGUGUGCUGGAGGCUCCUAACCCGCAAGACUUAAGGAGGCCCCAGCGCCCUGGUGGGCUGCUUCUCCCACCCCAGGCGUGUGCCUUCUGGACUCAACCUGGUUGUAGGUGUGCAGUCCUCUCUCCUCUUUUGAACGCCUGACUUUGUUCACACGGGCGGGCCUCGCGACAACCUUCUCCGUGAGACACUCUGCAGGAGCUCGUCCCAGACUUGGCCAUCUCCCCAGAUGUCCGGCCAUUUCCAAGCUGGUUGUGCAUCAGAAUCACCACUGUUCUCUGGAGACACGGACGCCUGGCCCCAGGCCCCCUGUGCUGCUUCACAGGCCCGAGCUGGGGCCUUGGGCACCUGCAGAUGUAACAAGUCCUGCAGGUCCAGCCGUCCCAGCCCCUACGCUUGGCCCUGGUUCUGCCCCAGGUCCAAGGAGACGCAUCCGUUGCCCACAUGGAGACAGCACCGUGGGUUCACUCCCCUCCCGGCUCCCACAGGAUCUACGAGGGCCCCGGGGCAGAGUGGAGAGGACGUGCCCGCCUUGGGGAGACAGGAGCCGGGAGACGUGAUGUCCCCGUCUGGAGGUGCAAGCUGCUAAUUGUUUUGUUUUGCGUUAUCGGCAUCUGCGGGAAGAGAGAGCAAACACCGCCACUGCCCGGCCUGCCGUCCCUGGAGGUGACCACCCUGUGGUCAGGGCUCUUGGCACAGAACCUGUCAGAUGCACAGCUGAGCACCCCGUCUGGCUGCCCCUGUGUCCUUGCUGCUAAGACAGUUGUGCCUACACGCUGCCCUGAGAACAGGCGCUGUGGUGACUGCCACGCCUUCCUGCAGCAGCAUCAGGAACAUACUUCCUUCUCCUUCUCGAAGAUUCCAGGUGGAACCUCUCAGCUCUGCGCCACAAACUGA
rnacentral:lncRNA from 1 species